rnacentral:rRNA from 1 species
UACCUGCAGCUCAAGUGGUGACCGCUAUUAUUGGGCCUAAAACGUCCGUAGCCUGCCGAGUAAAUGCCUGGGUAAAUCGUGUCGCUUAACGAUACGAAUUCCGGGUAGACUGCCUGGCUUGGGACCGGAAGAAGUUAGAGGUACUCCUGGGGUAGGGGUGAAAUCCUGUAAUCCUGGGGGGACCACCAGUGGCGAAAGCGUCUAACUAGGACGGGUCUGACGGUGAGGGACGAAACCCUGGGGCGCAAACCGGAUUAGAUACCCGGGUAGUCCAGGGCGCAAACGCUGCUUGCUUGAUGUUAGUUGGGCUCCGAGCUCAGCUAGUGUCGGAGAGAAGUUGUUAAGCAAGCUGCCUGGGAAGUACGAUCGCAAGAUUGAAACUUAAAGGAAUUGGCGGGGGAGCACAGCAGCGGGUGGAGCGUGCGGUUU